GUGCCAGCAGCCGCGGUAAGACGAACCGCACAAACGUUAUUCGGAAUCACUGGGCUUAAAGGGUGCGUAGGCGGCGCAGAAAGUUGGGUGUGAAAUCCCUCGGCUCAACCGGGGAAUUGCGCCCAAAACUGCUGUGCUUGAGGGAGACAGAGGUGAGCGGAACUUAGGGUGGAGCGGUGAAAUGCGUUGAUAUCCUAAGGAACACCGGUGGCGAAAGCGGCUCACUGGGUCUCUUCUGACGCUGAGGCACGAAAGCUAGGGGAGCAAACGGGAUUAGAUACCCUAGUAGUCC
rnacentral:rRNA from 1 species